UACGGAGGGUGCAAACGUUGCUCGGAAUCAUUGGGCGUAAAGCGCACGUAGGCGGCUCGUUAAGUCGGAUGUGAAAUGCCUCGGCUCAACCGAGGAAGUGCAUUCGAAACUGGCAGGCUUGAGUAUGGAAGAGGGUCGCGGAAUUCCCGGUGUAGAGGUGAAAUGCGUAGAUAUCGGGAGGAACACCAGUGGCGAAGGCGGCGACCUGGGCCAAUACUGACGCUGAGGUGCGAAAGCGUGGGGAGCAAACAGG
rnacentral:rRNA from 1 species